GAUGAACGCUGGCGGCGUGCCUAAUACAUGCAAGUCGAGCGAACAGAUGAGGAGCUUGCUCCUCUGACGUUAGCGGCGGACGGGUGAGUAACACGUGGAUAACCUACCUAUAAGACUGGGAUAACUUCGGGAAACCGGAGCUAAUACCGGAUAAUAUAUUGAACCGCAUGGUUCAAUAGUGAAAGACGGUUUUGCUGUCACUUGUAGAUGGAUCCGCGCCGCAUUAGCUAGUUGGUAAGGUAAAGGCUUACCAAGGCAACGAUGCGUAGCCGAACUGAGAGGGUGAUCGGCGACACUGGAACUGAGACACGGUCCAGACUCCUACGGGAGGCAGCAGUAGGGAAUCUUCCGCAAUGGGCGAAAGCCUGACGGAGCAACGCCGCGUGAGUGAUGAAGGUCUUCGGAUCGUAAAACUCUGUUAUUAGGGAAGAACAAAUGUGUAAGUAACUAUGCACGUCUUGACGGUACCUAAUCAGAAAGCCACGGCUAACUACGUG
rnacentral:rRNA from 1 species